UGGGGAAUCUUGGACAAUGGGGGCAACCCUGAUCCAGCCAUGCCGCGUGAGUGAUGAAGGCCUUAGGGUCGUAAAGCUCUUUCGCCUGUGAAGAUAAUGACGGUAGCAGGUAAAGAAACCCCGGCUAACUUCGUGCCAGCAGCCGCGGUAAUACGAAGGGGGCUAGCGUUGUUCGGAAUUACUGGGCGUAAAGCGCACGUAGGCGGACUGGUCAGUUGGGGGUGAAAUCCCGGGGCUCAACCUCGGAACUGCCUUCAAUACUGCCAGUCUUGAGUCCGAGAGAGGUGAGUGGAAUUCCUAGUGUAGAGGUGAAAUUCGUAGAUAUUAGGAAGAACACCAGUGGCGAAGGCGGCUCACUGGCUCGGUACUGACGCUGAGGUGCGAAAGCGUGGGGAGCAAACAGGAUUAGAUACCCCCGUAGUCC
rnacentral:rRNA from 1 species